rnacentral:rRNA from 1 species
AAUCUACCUUUUACAGAGGGAUAGUAAAAGAAAUUUGGGAUUAAUACCUCAUAGUAUAAUUGAAUGGCAUCAUUUAAUUAUUAAAGUCACAACGGUAAAAGAUGAGCAUGCGUCCCAUUAGCUAGUUGGUAAGGUAACGGCUUACCAAGGCUACGAUGGGUAGGGGUCCUGAGAGGGAGAUCCCCCACACUGGUACUGAGACACGGACCAGACUCCUACGGGAGGCAGCAGUGAGGAAUAUUGGACAAUGGGCGCAAGCCUGAUCCAGCCAUGCCGCGUGCAGGAUGACGGUCCUAUGGAUUGUAAACUGCUUUUAUACGAGAAGAAACACUGAUUCGUGAAUCAGCUUGACGGUAUCGUAAGAAUAAGGAUCGGCUAACUCCGUGCCAGCAGCCGCGGUAAUACGGAGGAUCCAAGCGUUAUCCGGAAUCAUUGGGUUUAAAGGGUCCGUAGGCGGUUUAAUAAGUCAGUGGUGAAAGCCCAUCGCUCAACGGUGGAACGGCCAUUGAUACUGUUAGACUUGAAUUAUUAGGAAGUAACUAGAAUAUGUAGUGUAGCGGUGAAAUGCUUAGAGAUUACAUGGAAUACCAAUUGCGAAGGCAGGUUACUACUAAUGGAUUGACGCUGAUGGACGAAAGCGUGGGUAGCGAACAGGAUUAGAUACCCUGGUAGUCCACGCCGUAAACGUUGAUUACUAGCUGUUGG